rnacentral:rRNA from 1 species
CCUACGGGGGGCAGCAGUGGGGAAUAUUGGACAAUGGGGGGAACCCUGAUCCAGCCAUGCCGCGUGUGUGAAGAAGGCCCUCGGGUUGUAAAGCACUUUCAGUGAGGAAGAACGCCUGGUGGUUAAUACCCAUCAGGAAAGACAUCACUCACAGAAGAAGCACCGGCUAACUCCGUGCCAGCAGCCGCGGUAAUACGGAGGGUGCGAGCGUUAAUCGGAAUUACUGGGCGUAAAGCGCGCGUAGGUGGCUUGAUAAGCCGGUUGUGAAAGCCCCGGGCUCAACCUGGGAACGGCAUCCGGAACUGUCAAGCUAGAGUGCAGGAGAGGAAGGUAGAAUUCCCGGUGUAGCGGUGAAAUGCGUAGAGAUCGGGAGGAAUACCGGUGGCGAAGGCGGCCUUCUGGACUGACACUGACACUGAGGUGCGAAAGCGUGGGUAGCAAACAGGAUUAGAUACCCGAGUAGUC